UUUUAAAAUUUUUGUAAUAAUGAUAGAAUUAGUAUAUUUACUUGUAUAUAANUUUUUACCUUGUGAAUUUAUAAUAAGGAACUAGGCAAAAUUGAUUUCCGCCUGUUUAUCAAAAACAUGUCCUCUUGNAAAAUACUUUGAGGUCUGGCCUGCUCACUGAGCGGNNNAUUUUUAAAGAGCCGCGGUAUUUUGACCGUGCAAAGGUAGCAUAAUCAUUAGUCUCUUAAUUAGUGGCUGGAAUGAAUGGCUUGACGAGAAAUCAACUGUCUCUUAAUAAAUUUUUGAAUUUAACUUUUGAGUCAAAAGGCUUAAAUUUUUCUUUAGGACGAGAAGACCCUAUAGAGCUUAACAUUUUACUUUUAUAUAGUUUUUUGUUUGUCUUUCUAUAUUUAAUGAUGAUGUUUUGUUGGGGUGACAUGAAGAAUAAAUAAACUCUUCAUUAUUAUAUCAUUUAUUUAUGUUUGUUGUUUUGAUCCAUAAUUUAUGAUCAUAAGAUUAAGUUACCUUAGGGAUAACAGCGUAAUUGUUUUUGAGAGCUCAUAUCGACAAAGCAGAUUGCGACCUCGAUGUUGGAUUAAGAAAAAUUUUGGGUGCAGUAGCCCAGUAAUUAGGUCUGUUCGACCUUUAAAUUCUUACAUGAUCUGAGUUCAGACCGGCGUGAGCCAGGUCGGUUUCUAUCCUAAGAUUNAUUAAUUCAUAUUAGUACGAAAGGACCAUAUGGUUGAAAUANNUUUUUUAUUUUAUNUGAUUAAUAUUAAUUAGAUU
rnacentral:rRNA from 1 species